CCCCCUGAAACCGCUGGACCUACUUCUCUGUCUAAAUAUGUGCUGCCAUCUAUUGCCUGUGUCUGGGUUGUGGUUUUCCUUCUGCUGUUAGUUCUACUGGUGAGACGAAGAUGGAAGAGGAAACCUGACAAUGGGAUGGAAACCUUCUCUCAGUUCCUCAGGACAGAGUUCAGGGAGGAAGACAUCAAGUUCUGGUCAGUCUGUGAAUACAGAACCACUGAUCCAGGAACAGAGCUGCUGUCCAAAGACAGAUCUUUUUCUACAGCCUUGAUGGAAGCAGAGGCCUCCAAGCAGGUAGGAGGGGACAUGUUCAUGUCUGCAGAGCUGCAGGGAAGUUUUAUUAAUAGAACAUAGUUCAGUAAGAAAA